GAUGAACGCUGGCGGCGCGCCUAAUACAUGCAAGUCGAGCGAACAGACGAGGAGCUUGCUCCUCUGACGUUAGCGGCGGACGGGUGAGUAACACGUGGAUAACCUACCUAUAAGACUGGGAUAACUUCGGGAAACCGGAGCUAAUACCGGAUAAUAUAUUGAACCGCAUGGUUCAAUAGUGAAAGACGGUUUUGCUGUCACUUAUAGAUGGAUCCGCGCCGCAUUAGCUAGUUGGUAAGGUAACGGCUUACCAAGGCAACGAUGCGUAGCCGACCUGAGAGGGUGAUCGGCCACACUGGAACUGAGACACGGUCCAGACUCCUACGGGAGGCAGCAGUAGGGAAUCUUCCGCAAUGGGCGAAAGCCUGACGGAGCAACGCCGCGUGAGUGAUGAAGGUCUUCGGAUCGUAAAACUCUGUUAUUAGGGAAGAACAAAUGUGUAAGUAACUAUGCACGUCUUGACGGUACCUAAUCAGAAAGCCACGGCUAGCUACGUG
rnacentral:rRNA from 1 species